AACUCGGGACCUAGCAGUUGCAAGGCAGGUACCUGAACCACUGAGCUAAAUCCUGGGUCCUUUCAUGGAUUUUCUUAAAUCAGAGGAAGAUACACCGAAGACACUGAGGUUACCUUCAAAAGAGCAGAUGGAUUAAUUCAGAGAAGGGAGAAUAAUGAUUGUGGUGAUGGAGGAGUGAGUUAUGAGAAAUGAUUAAAGAUGAAGAUUAUGUCUG